AACGAAUCGAAUACGCGUGACGUAAUUAGCAGGGCACGAGAAAUUGAUACGAGUCAACACAAUACAAACAAUAUAGCACAAUGUCGUCGACUGUAGUGAUAUUUCUGUUGCUAUUUCGGAUUCAAGCGAUUCAAGUGCGUAUGUUUUUGGCGCUCAUUAUAUGCCGUGUGAAGGUGAACCAUUAAUUCCUCAGGGAGAAGAUAUAAUGGACGAUAUAAGCGAAGAAACGACCAAGCUAGGAAGCCGGGCUCGGAUCGAAACUUGGUUGAUGCACUUGAAUACUAAUAUUAUAUAGUUUGCGCGCAGGCUACUUGAAUACCGAUGUUGCCACGAAAUUCUUGAAGCGCUUGAGAAACUAACAUUCGAUGGGAGCAUCGCCGGAGAAAAUUUCAUGUUUGACAUUACAUGAAGACUACAAGGCCAUGACGAACGAGGCUGUGCUGGCGCAAAGCUAUAAAUGACGUUCAGGAACUCCUUACAAAAGAGUAUUGUGGAUCAUUUCAUGCUGUCAAGGUUAUAGAAUUACUGCAAUUUUUACGUUUUAUAUUUCGACAAAACACACUUUCCAAAUGUGGAUACUGAUAGUUUUUAAUAGUUUAAUAAUACAGUAAUAGAGCCAUGUUUAUUUAUAUCGAACAACUAUAAUGAUACGUUUCCGAUAUGCCUUCAAAACAUAUACAAAGGCCAGCCAAAAGGGUGGAUUAUACAUCUUAUUGCUCUACUCAAACACAAUAAUGAUGUCAGUGUUUUAUACACUGAGAUUUAUAUGGGGCAACGGUUUGGCCGGUCUUGCAUUUUGGUACAUUACAUAGUCUGCUAUUUCCUCUUCUAAUACUAAUUUUAACCCUGUGAAUAAUUUUAAAUAUAAAUAAUUUUAAAUAUUUCUCAACCGCUUCUGUCUUCGCUAAACGUUCUGUAAACUGACUGGUCAAGGAUUUCGGUUGC